GACGAACGCUGGCGGCGUGCUUAACACAUGCAAGUCGAACGGAAAGGCCCUGCUUUUGUGGGGUGCUCGAGUGGCGAACGGGUGAGUAACACGUGAGUAACCUGCCCUUGACUUUGGGAUAACUUCAGGAAACUGGGGCUAAUACCGGAUAGGAGCUCCUGCUGCAUGGUGGGGGUUGGAAAGUUUCGGCGGCUGGGGAUGGACUCGCGGCUUAUCAGCUUGUUGGUGGGGUAGUGGCUUACCAAGGCUUUGACGGGUAGCCGGCCUGAGAGGGUGACCGGCCACAUUGGGACUGAGAUGCGGCCCAGACUCCUACGGGAGGCAGCAGUGGGGAAUAUUGCACAAUGGGCGGAAGCCUGAUGCAGCAACGCCGCGUGCGGGAUGACGGCCUUCGGGUUGUAAACCGCUUUCGCCUGUGACGAAGCGUGAGUGACGGUAAUGGGUAAAGAAGCACCGGCUAACUACGUG
rnacentral:rRNA from 1 species